AGACCAUGUGGUUUAAUGGUAUAACAUUUGCUUAGCAUGCGAAAGGUCCAGCGUUCAAUUCGCCGCUUGUCCA
rnacentral:tRNA from 1 species